UCUGCUUAGAAGGCAGAUUAAACUCGUAGAGUUAAAGAGCUUUAAGCUAAAAGAUUUCAAAAGGAUCUGCAUACAUUACUGGUCCUGGAAGCAAUCCGCUGUUUAAACCUGCAAAGAUUUGACUCUUGAAAGACUGGACUUGCAGUGGAUCCUGAGCUGUCAGUGAAGCUGUUUAUGGCCAGGAUAUCUCUGAUGUGCCUGUUUUUACCUGCAAUCUUAGUUUAUUCCAUUUGAUGAAACAGCAGCAACGCGUUUCCUAAUUCAAGCAUCACCCAGGGAUAAGUCCAUUGGAUAAUAUUGUUAUUGGAAAAUACUGCACUUGAUCAGACAUAUCUACUAGCAAGUUCCUUCUGGAUAUCAUUCUCUCAGAAUUGGAGCUUUCCUUAAAGCAUUAUACCGCAUUGGUGACUAUGACUCUGUUUGUCCUAUUCUAAUUCAUGGACAUUUUUUAAUACAUAUAUAUUUUUUAACACACAUUUUUAAAUGGCUAAUAGUGUUAUCUACUAAUAUCCAUUUGUGUUUCUUCUUAUAUAUUAAGCAUUAUAUUUAUCCUACACUGUUUGAUUCCUGGUUGCCUUUUCAGCGCUGCGUUUUUUGUUUGUUUUUAAAUAUAAAAAAAAUAAUUGAAUUA